rnacentral:rRNA from 1 species
UACGUAGGGGGCGAGCGUUGUCCGGAGUUACUGGGCGUAAAGGGCGCGCAGGCGGUCUGGUAAGUUUGGAGUGACAGUGCUCGGCUUAACUGAGCAAGGCCUUCGAAAACUGCUAGACUUGAGCACUCAAGAGGGACAUAGAAUUCCGGGUGGAGUGGUGAAAUGCGUAGAUAUCCGGAGGAAUACCAAAGGCGAAGGCAGUGUCCUGGGGAGUGUCUGACGCUCAGGCGCGAAAGCUAGGGGAGCGAACAGGAUUAGAUACCCUGGUAGUCCUAGCCGUAAACGAUGACCACCAGGUGUGCGGAGUAUCGACCCUCUGCGUGCCGGCGUUAACAUUAUAAGUGGUCCGCCUGGGGAGUACGGUCGCAAGAUUAAA